rnacentral:lncRNA from 1 species
GUUCUUUUGUCCUCCUGUGCUGAGGGCGGAGCCUGAGGUCUUUGCAUACUAGAGCAAAACGGCAUCUCUGGUAUGUUGACAUCUAAGGACGUGCCCUGCUUCGUGCCCUUAGAAAACUCCUCUUUGGUUCCUAGCCUCAGAAUCUCCCAAGCUAACCCACAGCCAUGUUUGUGCAGCAUGAUCAGCUCCCUAGCCAAAGGCAGUUUGGAGCCAGCAUGGACAGUGGGGUGUGGUUGGGCCAAUCAGCCUCUCUUCUUAGGGAAUUUGGUAAGAGGGCAUCAUCCAGUUGCCUCCUGCUCUUCGAAUGUGAUGGAGCCUACAGUAAUCCUGGAAGUGCGGGUGGUUGUUUUUCUGCCAUUUGGGAUGAGAUUGAAAAGUCGAUGUCUGAGAAAAUGAAUAUGGAGUAGACACAAACAAAAAAACAGAAAUGAGCUGUCUCCAGAAGGCAGACAGACAGACACAUAGACUCACAGAGAGACACAGAUGGACAUACACAGAGAAAGACACACACAGACACACAUACAGAUGCACAGACACAGUCAUGCAUACACCCACACACUUUGCACGCACAUGUGCACAUAUUUUUGCACACUUUGCCCACACACAUGUGCACACUUUUGCAUGCUUCCAAGCUAGUUUAGAAGCGUUUAUAGACUGUUUAGCAAAAAAGACCCCUACAUGCCACAUGGGGGCAUAAAUGUCCUUUAUCAGAGAUAUAACCCAGGGCCUGGCAGAACGUUAGGGUCCUCAUUAGAGACUUCCAGAUCUCAUUUUACAGACCUCCAUGUAUGAAAAACAAGGAGAGUCACACCUGUCAAAAAUUCGCCACUCUGAUGACAAAAGGUAGGCCCUGCUCAGCUGAACCCCUCCCCCUUGCUCAGUUUCUAAGGCCCU